rnacentral:rRNA from 1 species
UACGGGGGGAGCAAGCGUUGUUCGGAUUUACUGGGCGUAAAGGGCGCGUAGGCGGCCACCGCAAGUCGACUGUGAAAUCUCCGGGCUUAACCCGGAAAGGUCAGCCGAUACUGCGGGGCUAGAGUGCAGAAGGGGCAACUGGAAUUCUCGGUGUAGCGGUGAAAUGCGUAGAUAUCGGAAGGAACAUCAGUGGCGAAGGCGGCUACCUGGACAGAUACUGACGCUGAGGCGCGAGAGCGUGGGGAGCAAACAGG